AACGAACGCUGGCGGCAGGCUUAACACAUGCAAGUCGAACGCCCCGCAAGGGGAGUGGCAGACGGGUGAGUAACGCGUGGGAACAUACCCUUUCCUGCGGAAUAGCUCUGGGAAACUGGAAUUAAUACCGCAUACGCCCUACGGGGGAAAGAUUUAUCGGGGAAGGAUGGGCCCGCGUUGGAUUAGCUAGUUGGUGGGGUAAAGGCCUACCAAGGCGACGAUCCAUAGCUGGUCUGAGAGGAUGAUCAGCCACAUUGGGACUGAGACACGGCCCAAACUCCUACGGGAGGCAGCAGUGGGGAAUAUUGGACAAUGGGCGCACGCCUGAUCCAGCCAUGCCGCGUGAGUGAUGAAGGCCUUAGGGUUGUAAAGCUCUUUCACCGAUGAAGAUAAUGACUGUACCACCAGAAGAAGCCCCGGCUAACUCCGUGCCAGCCGCCGCGGUAAAAC
rnacentral:rRNA from 1 species